rnacentral:other from 1 species
CGUCCCCUGUGGUGUUCGCAAAGAGAUCCAGUACUCUUUGAGCCUAUAUCACAGCCCUCGGGGGUCGGCUCUCGGCGUCGUUGUGCAUGUCCGCCACGCUGCGGAAAGCCUGAGACGCCGAUCCAUUCCCCCAAGUUGAACUUCGGUUCAAGGGGGCAGGAUCUCGGUCGGCACCUACGGGGGACAC